AUUGAACGCUGGCGGCAGGCCUAACACAUGCAAGUCGAACGGUAACAGGAAACAGCUUGCUGUUUCGCUGACGAGUGGCGGACGGGUGAGUAAUGUCUGGGAAACUGCCUGAUGGAGGGGGAUAACUACUGGAAACGGUAGCUAAUACCGCAUAACGUCGCAAGACCAAAGAGGGGGACCCUCGGGCCUCUUGCCAUCGGAUGUGCCCAGAUGGGAUUAGCUUGUUGGUGGGGUAACGGCUCACCAAGGCGACGAUCCCUUGCUGGUCUGAGAGGAUGACCAGCCACACUGGAACUGAGACACGGUCCAGACUCCUACGGGAGGCAGCAGUGGGGAAUAUUGCACAAUGGGCGCAAGCCUGAUGCAGCCAUGCCGCGUGUAUGAAGAAGGCCUUCGGGUUGUAAAGUACUUUCAGCGGGGAGGAAGGGAGUAAAGUUAAUACCUUUGCUCAUUGACGUUACCCGCAGAAGAAGCACCGGCUAACUCCGUG
rnacentral:rRNA from 1 species